UACGUAGGGUGCAAGCGUUGUCCGGAAUUAUUGGGCGUAAAGAGCUCGUAGGCGGUUUGUCGCGUCUGCUGUGAAAACUCGGGGCUUAACUCCGGGCCUGCAGUGGGUACGGGCAGACUAGAGUGCGGUAGGGGAGACUGGAAUUCCUGGUGUAGCGGUGAAAUGCGCGGAUAUCAGGAGGAACACCGGUGGCGAAGGCGGGUCUCUGGGCCGAUACUGACGCUGAGGAGCGAAAGUGUGGGGAGCGAACAGG
rnacentral:rRNA from 1 species